GUCCACGCCGUAAACGAUGGAUACUAGCUGUUUGGUUUUCGGACUGAGUGGCUAAGCGAAAGUGAUAAGUAUCCCACCUGGGGAGUACGGGCGCAAGCCUGAAACUCAAAGGAAUUGACGGGGGCCCGCACAAGCGGUGGAGCAUGUGGUUUAAUUCGAUGAUACGCGAGGAACCUUACCAGGGCUUAAAUGUAGGUUGGCAGGCUUGGAAACAGGUUUUUCUUCGGACAACUUACAAGGUGCUGCAUGGUUGUCGU
rnacentral:rRNA from 1 species